rnacentral:lncRNA from 10 species
AGGAACUGGAGCUGCUGCCUCUGUCUGCUAAGAUGUGAAGUCCAAGACUGAAAGUAACAUAGCAGAAGGAGAACCAAAAGAUAUGUUGAGUCUUGAUGCUAUUUGUUGAACCAGUCCUGAAUCCAGCUGUGUCGGAGUCAGCGCAGCUUUUGAAGCUGGAGAGCAUCAUAUUUUAGAAAGAUCAAGCAAUGUGGAUGAGGACACAUUAAAAAGAGAAGACCGAGAGGAGGGGACACCACUCAGGCUUAUAACCUCCAGCUCACAUUUCAGCACCAAAGGACCAAAGCCUAGACCUGAGAUCUGGCACUUGCAAAAAGAAAGAUCACCUGGAAGAACAAAAUAGAAGACUCCUGCUCCCAAUAGGCUUGGGUCAGGAAGAAGGCUGUUGGCAUAAUUGUGGAGUAGGAAGAUGGAAAACAACUCCUAGAGAUCCCAACAGCUGAACGCGUGCUUGGGCAGUGGCUGCGGGUGAAGUCAUGGGAAGGCAAGUCAUGAAGGGCAUUAAUCAAGGUCUGUUGUGGGGAAAGUCAGAUGAUGUGAGUCCUUGUUCACACAGUAAGUGCCCAGAAAACCUUGGUGCUUUUCCUCUUCCCUUCCCUGAAGCUGAACUUCUGCGGAAAAAUCCAAGAGGGUGAAGGUACACUCGAGCGUGGUCAUUGAGGACAAGUCGACGAGAGAUCCCGAGUACGUCUACAGUCAGCCUUACGAGUGGACUGAUCAAGUUGAAAGCAACAGAACAAGCAUCUAUAAGAAUUGAUUAUAUGUCCCAGCACUUUGGAAGGCUGAGGCAAGUGGAUCCCUUGGGCCUAGGACUUCGCGAGACCAGUUGGGCAACAUGAACAAGAUGGAAGAAACUACGGUCACAUAUGCAAAUGGAGAAGAUGAUGAACACAGAAAAAUUAUGCAAAGAUAAUCCCUAAACCUUCUUUCUCAUCAAAAGUUAUAGCAAGGUGGUUUAAUAUAUCACUGACGGAACACGAUGCUUUGUUUAAUGAAGACUCAGACGGAAAGGAUCAGACAUCAACCUAUAAAUGCAUCAACCAGAAGGAAAGACCAAUUUUGAAAACUGUUGAGCAUUAUUCUAUACCUCUAAGCUGUUCUUUUCUGAACCAUGAAUCGGGAGAAUUAUUGUCACUCAUACAUGAGUAUGAGUUGUAAUUCUCAAUUCCCAAGUAAAAAUCUUCCUGCUUUUGUUA